GAUGAACGCUGGCGGCGUGCCUAAUACAUGCAAGUCGAGCGAACGGACGAGAAGCUUGCUUCUCUGAUGUUAGCGGCGGACGGGUGAGUAACACGUGGAUAACCUACCUAUAAGACUGGGAUAACUUCGGGAAACCGUAGCUAAUACCGGAUAAUAUUUUGAACCGCAUGGUUCAAAAGUGAAAGACGGUCUUGCUGUCACUUAUCGCUGGUUCUGGGCUGCAUUAGCUAGUUGGUAAGGUAACGGCUUACCAAGGCAACGAUGCAUAGCCGACCUGAGAGGGUGAUCGGCCGCACUGGAACUGGAACAGGGUCCAGACUCCUACGGGAGGCAGCAGUAGGGAAUCUUCCGCAAUGGGCGAAAGCCUGGCGGAGCAACGCCGCGUGAGUGAUGAAGGUCUUCGGAUCGUAAAACUCUGUUAUUAGGGAAGAACAUAUGUGUAAGUAACUGUGCACAGCUUGACGGUACCUAAUCAGAAAGCCACGGCUAACUACGUG
rnacentral:rRNA from 1 species